rnacentral:rRNA from 1 species
UAAAAAGCUCGUAGUUGGAUUUCUGUUGAAGACGUCCGGUCCAUACCACGUAUGCGCAUCUGGCUCGGCUUCGGCAUCCUCUCGAAAGACGUUUCUGCGCUUGAUUGCGUGGAGCGGAUCUCGGGACUUUUACUUUGAGGAAAUUAGAGUGUUCACGGCAGGCUAUCGCCAGAAUACAUUAGCAUGGAAUAAUACUAUAGGAUCUCGGUUCUAUUUUGUUGGUUUCUAGAAUUGAGAUAAUGAUUAAUAGGGACAAUUGGGGGCAUUCGUAUCAACACGUUAGAGGUGAAAUUCUUGGAUCGUGUUGCGACGAACUACUGCGAAAGCAUUUGCCAAGGAUGUUUUCAUUGAUCAAGAACGAAAGUAAGGGGAUCGAAGACGAUUAGAUACCGUCGUAGUCUUUACCAUAAACUAUGCCAACUAGAGAUGGGACAUCGUUCACUUAAGACUUGUUCCGCACCUUAUGAGAUAUCAAAGUCUUUGGGUUCCGGGGGGAGUAUGGUCGCAAGUCUGAAACUUAAAGGAAUUGACGGAAGGGCACCACCAGGAGUGGAGCCUGCGGCUUAAUUUGACUCAACACGGGGAAACUCACCAGGUCCAGACAUAAUAAGGAUUGACAGAUUGAUAGUUCUUUCUUGAUUUUAUGGGUGGUGGUGCAUGGCCGUUCUUAGUUCGUGGAGUGAUUUGUCUGCUUAAUUGCGUUAACGAACGAGACCUUAACCUGCUAAAUAGGAGCGCCUAUCUCCGGAUAAGCGCCUUUCUUCUUAGAGGGACUUUAUGCGUUUCAGCAUGAGGAAGUUUGAGGCUAAAACAGGUCUGUGAUGCCCUUAGAUGUUCUGGGCUGCACGCGCGCUACACUGAUGCGUUCAACGAGUGUACAACCUUGCCCGAUAGGGUUGGGUAAUCUUCUGAACACGCAUCGUGAUGGGGAUAGAUUAUUGCAAUUAUUAAUCUUCAACGAGGAAU